UUGAAACACUAGUUCCUGUAUGAUCACCGAAGUUAAGCAACAUCAAGCCUAGUCAGUACCUAGAUGAAUGACUGCUUGGGAAUACCAGGUGCUGUAAG